AGGUAAGAGCUUACCGGCAGGCUGGAGACAGCCUGGCCCUGCAAACCCCAUCCGGAGCAACACCGUGGAGGAAUAACUGUGACCCGCAGGUUCCGAGGAGGUGGCUUGAAUUAACCGGCAACGGUUGGUCUAGACAGAUGGUCGCUCACGACAGAAUCCGGCUUACAGACUUACUCAUCCU
rnacentral:RNase_P_RNA from 1 species